UACGUAGGGGGCUAGCGUUGUCCGGAAUCAUUGGGCGUAAAGAGCGUGUAGGCGGUCCGGUAAGUCCGCUGUGAAAGUCGGGGGCUCAACCCUCGAAUGCCGGUGGAUACUGUCGGGCUAGAGUGCGGAAGAGGCGAGUGGAAUUCCUGGUGUAGCGGUGAAAUGCGUAGAUAUCUGGAGGAACACCGGUGGCGAAGGCGGCAUCCUGGACCGGUAUUGACGCUGAGGCGCGAAAGCUAGGGGAGCAAACGGG
rnacentral:rRNA from 1 species